rnacentral:lncRNA from 1 species
UGAUUAUCUCUUUAUAUAGAGAUAAAGCUGUAGGUUGUUAUGCCUAAAUCUAAUAGGCCAGUUGGCCCUAAUAUUAUAGAUUGUUAUGCUUUAAUUGGAUAAAUCAUUAGAAUAAAAAAUCUAUCCACUAAUCUAUAAAUUACGGUUGUUAGUCAUAGAUACUAAUUAUCCACGUUCUAAAAAUUAUUGGAAGAUUCUAUUUAGCUAAUCCUACUAUUGAGAUGGUUAGUAGUUUGAGAUCAGCAUGACAUCAGAAUGCAUCGUCGGUUUGGAUUUGAGACCAGCUGAAUGCAUAAGAGGUUAUAAUCUUGAGGAUGGUGAUCUGAUGUCGGGGUCGACUUCUGCUGAGCUUGAGUUGAUAUUUACCAUAUUAACUGUCGCCUGGGCCAUUGGCUUGUCCUAUCUUCUCUCAAGUCAGACUUAUGACGUGAUUCAGAUUGUUUCAAUUUUAAGCCGAAGUACUCUAAUCGGUGAAAAAUGGCUCAUCCAUAUGAUUCAUAUCCCAACAAUACACGCGAGAAAACACUCUCGGAGGGCACAACUGUAAAAGCAAAUUCAGGAAUAACAGUGUGGGCACGCAUGCGUAACUUGCAUCUAUAAGUUUGGCUUUGUG